GCCCAGGUGGCGAAAUUGGUAGACGCACUGGAUUUAGGUUCCAGCGCCGCAAGGCGUGGAGGUUCGAGUCCUCUCCUGGGCACCA
rnacentral:tRNA from 3 species